UUUAAUCUUCAAACGGUGUUUGCCUGAAGGCCCUGAACCACCAUUUCGCUUCCUACGCCGAGUAGGACGUUCUGUUUCUCCAGUUAUUGUUGUUCCAUCAUAAAUGAUAUCCAAUUUAUCAAGGAAUAAUGGUUCUUUAUACCGAAAUUGUGCAGCUUCAGGGUUCAUCUGUAGUAUUAAAACCAUAUUCUGUAACUAAGCUAGCCCCAUGGACAUUAUUAAUAUUAGAAAGAUUAUUAAUAUAAUUAAUGAACAGUUAUUUCCACAGGUAAAUUAGUUAUUUUCACUACGUCUCUCACAUGAGUGCAGGACCCACUUACUAUUGACGCAUGAGAGGAACUUGUGGAAAUAACAAUUCCCCAAUAUUCUUCUUCUUCUUCUUCUUCUUCUUCUUCUUGCUUUUAUAAUUAGUAUAAGUUUUAGUAAUUACUACUACUGCUGCUACCACCACCACCUCGAGUCUAACUUUUGUUGCUAUCAAUUCAUGCGUAC
rnacentral:lncRNA from 1 species